rfam:Camelus ferus isolate Naran unplaced genomic scaffold scaffold91315, whole genome shotgun sequence.
CCAAAGGCCCUUUUCAGGGCCACCUAUCCGCUCACUUAAAAGAGUU